AGGUUAACCAUGUUUACUACUGAUCUUGUCUUGAGAGAUCUCUGUCUUCCCCUCUCAUUUAUGUAUCAUUUUCUCCCCUUUUUAUUUCCUAACUUUUAUUUACCUGACGGAGUGCAGGUUUUCAACCUCAAUCCCAGGCUAAGCAUCUCAUGUAGCUGACUGAUAUCAGGCAGGCAGGUGUUCGUUGUGUAAUGUUUAAGUCAAGUUGGUUCCCCAGUGUCAACUCCAUAAUACCGUCUGGAGUGGAAUUUAUUUGGCAGUGAGCUGGGGAUCUGUGGAUAUAACCAAGACAGGUGUUGGGCCAGGCUCAUCAGACAUGUUUUAAGGUUCAGGGUGCAACGGCUAUGUUUUCCGAGGCUAGGAGACAUAAAAAUCUAAGCCAUCAAAGGAAACUCUGCAGGUUCGUUGUACUGGAAAGGAAGAUAUACGAAAAGAAGGGAUAGCAGGCGUACCUUAGGCGGGCCUUCCAAUGUAUUCGUGCAAUAUAGUCUCGCGUUGUCAACCAGUUGGCAAUAUGUUAGAAAUGAAUUUGCAAAUCUCUUGUGGGAUUUCAAUUGUGAAUUUACUCGCACUGCUCUUCUAACCAUGAUAGCUCUCCUGUUGUCAUUGAGAAUGUCCACUUUCAUGCAUCAAUGUUUUUCUGACUACAAUUUGAGAGUGAAAAGAAGAAAAAUGUAAGAAAAAUGAGGUAUCUUUGACUAGUAUUGUUACCUUAUGCCUCUUAUAACAGCUAGAUAAGCGUCGCACACGACUCCAACGAGCUCUAUCCUGUAUGGUUUUCUCUUUCUGCCUCCUACUUGUACUGGUUCUUCAUCAUCAAGUCGUUCCCAAUAGUUUUCAGUGACAGUUCCAUCCUCAUUCACCCUGUAACCAGGUCCCAUGCGGUAGCGGCGGCGAUGAACAUUUCUGGCCAUUGUUAUCGUCUGCACAACAAAGGGUGCCCAAGAGAGUGUGCCGUCCAUGAUGACAUCCCGCCCUUCAUUAAGCGCUGUGACGAGGAGGGAUGAUGCUGCGUCUGUAGAUGAUUGGUGUACCUGUUUAGUAUAGUUUUAUCAGUUUUUGAGUAAAUUCUGCAUGUUGAGUUCAUCUAAAGUUUCACUGCAGCAUUCUAAUCGAGACAGGAAAAGGAGACGCAGAAAGUAGAGAGUAUAAUUGGACAGUUUUCUUAGUUGUGAAGGAUCAACUCUUCAUCCAGAUCAAGGAUAGAGAUGCACUGUAAUCAGCUGCCCCUUCAGUGCUCUUCCCUGCUCCCAUUCCACCUCCCAUGAGGAGUAGGACCGGACUUCUAUCUGCGUGAGCCACCGGAGCCAUCACCUCUGUACACGUCGAGUCAUCUGGCGCUGCGAGUCCCAUUGCCUUCAUCUCCUCCACUAAGGUAGUGAAAACUCUAGCCACCUUCAAACUUUUCGUCACUCUCUCGAAUCUCUGUUCUCUAUAUCAUAAUUGUGGUUAAUUAGUAUUCCUAGAAACUUCAAUUUUAGCAUAUCAAUUGUCAUUCUUAUUAACGCGCGCACACGCACUACCAAAAAAAAAAAAAAAAAUUCCCACCUGGUUGCUGCCAUGACAAUGUUCUUGAGCUUCUUUCUAGGCUCACCAUCACUGCUCAAGAUCUGAAAUUUCAUAAAUUGUUGUUAGUUUCGGCUUCACGGAGAAAUAUAUCACAGGGAUUCUACGUUGUAUGGCUAAAUUACGAAAAAAAUGCAUCACGAACACAUUCACAUUAUCAUUCAUAUAUUUUGUUGUUGAUCCUAAUCACCUGAGUAAUCAUCAGGUCAGCUUGGCUCCAGUGAAAUGCAAAAUAACUGAGAAUGCAUCUCUCAAACUCCUCGACAAGUUUCACGAAGAGCGAAUCUGCAUCCGGUUCACUAGCAAAGAAGUUGUAGAUGUCCUCCUCAAACCCCUCAAAUUUUCUAAUGUAUUCAGUGGCUAACUUGCAGAGCUGCGGACAUUCUCUUCUGUCUUUAAAUCCCAGCUGCCUAGCUGCACCCACAACCCCGAAAACAUUCAACCACAAAACACACCUUGCGGAUCACAAAGGCCAUGAAAAACAAGCGGACGAUCACGUAAUCAUUACCUACGUAGUGGGGAAACCUCUCGAGCUUCUGAUGAACGCGGACUGAGUCGGAAACCUUGAGGCGGGGGACGAUCUUGUGAUCCUUGUGCUUUCGGAGGCGGUAAUGAAGGGCGGCGGCGACGACGAUGCCGAUGGAGGAGGCUACAAGGAUGUGAGAGAAGGUGUGAUCCGAAGAAAAGGGAGAGGUGACGGGGAAUGAAAAAGGAGAGAGGUUUUUGGAUGGAGGGUGGAAGCAAAGAGCGACGGAAGAGGCCAAUAUCAAGAGGGUGACUAGUUUUGUUCCAUGAUAUUUCAUAUCUUUCUGCAUGUCUCUUACAAAUUCCAGGAAAAUUGCUAAGAUUUGAAGAAAGAAUCUAUGAAUAUUUUUAUUUAUUUAUUUUUUAUUCUUUUU